CGGAGGUGGCAAGCGUUACUCGGAAUUAUUGGGUGUAAAGGGCAAGUAGGCGGUCUAUUAAGUGGGGGUGAAAUACUCUGGCUCAAUCAGAGAACUGCCUUCCAAACUAUUAGACUUGAGUGUGACAGAGGAAAAGGGAAUUCUAGGUGUAAGGGUGAAAUCUGUAGAUAUCUAGAAGAACACCAGCGGCGAAGGCGCUUUUCUGGGUCACAACUGACGCUAAAUUGCGAAAGCUAGGGGAGCAAACAGAAUUAGAUACUCUGGUAGUCCUAGCCGUAAACGAUGAGCACUAGGUGUUGGCCCCUUUAGGAGUCGGUGCCGCAGCUAACGCAUUAAGUGCUCCACCUGGGGACUACGGUCGCAAGGCUA
rnacentral:rRNA from 1 species